rnacentral:lncRNA from 1 species
CGUCGUUUGUAUCGAUACAUAGACCCUUUAAAAACAAAAAUGCAUGAUAUGGAUCGAUCCAUGGCCAUAUGCAUCGACACAUACUGACUGCUAUUUGGAUUAAAUGCAUUUUUUUCUCUCUCAUGGAUCGACACAUCAGCCACUCUUAUCACAUCCUAUCUCAAGACUUCAUAUCAGCAGUCCCCAUACCUCCCAAAACCAGCGGCUAACCCUAAUUU